UGAGUUAAAUAACGUUUUAUUUUUAAUUUUUAUAUGUGUCGAAAUUUAUUAUUUUAACACAGAAUAUGUAUAUAGUUAAAAGAACAACUUCAUUAAUUUAACUUUAUUGUUUUAGUUUAAAUUGACGACAUAUUAAGUAGGAGCAAUGGCAACCUACAAGAAUGAUUAAAAAUAAUUUAAAUCAGGUAGAAUUUGACGACGAAUUUUACAGUGUAUAUUUAGCGUAAAUUGAAUGCUUGAACUGAAGAAAUUAGAUUUAUCUGAAGAACCAAUAAAUAUGGACAUAUACGUCCAUUUUUACAUUUACGUACGUUCUUGUAUGAUUCAUGGGAUCUUAUAAAAAAAUUCAAUGAUAGAGGACAAUACAUUAUUAAGCUUUUCUUCGUGAUUAAGAAACAUUAAAAAGUAUAAUAAAAUAAAUUUAUUUUCUCUGUUCUUAUCCGGAAUUGUGAACAAGUCCUUCAAAAUUCGGGAAUUUUUCUUCUAAAAUGUGAACAAACACGCUGUCAAAUUGCUGGUAAAUGUUCUUUUAAAGUUUUUUUACCCUCACAAAAAUUUAAACGAUUAUGUAUAAACAAUUUUCUACAUAAUACAUUAAUCUCUGCAUUGUUAACGCUCGGCAUAGAAAUGGAAGAACGACACAAAGCUGUCCGAUAAGUUAACAAGUAUAAAUUUAUCCGUGAUAGAGUAGCAAACGAAAUUACACACAUCGUCCAGGCUAAAGAUGGUAUAGACAUGUGCAUCAAAGGGUUAACGGAUAAUGGCACGCUGAAUGCGCGGGUGUCGUUGGCCGAGUUCGCCGAGUUGUCUCGCUUCGCGGAAGUCAAGUUAUACGUGGCAUACCGGCGACGGAUAUAGACGGCACAGAUCCACGCGCGUUAUAUACGUCAAAGUGACGAUGCACUCGGGAGCGCGCGCGAAUUAUUUAGGAAGCCGCCGACUUCGUAAUCGUUUCAUCCACGUCGGGCUUUCGCGCCACUCGCUCGCCUCUCAAUCCCGUCUCUCGCGUUUACAUCGUUUCGAUCCCUCUUAACGUUCGGGUUUCCGGGUGAAGUGGUGGUGGCGAUGACGGCUACGAAAACGGCGAAGACGAUGAGGGAAGAGCGAGGUGAAGUGGUGAGGGAGAGGACGACGGCGGCGGUGGCGGCAGCGGCGGCGCAAGCGGAACAACCUCGACGGAGUGCAGAGUGGUUGGAUUUCAGAUCUCGGUGAAGAGAGCAAGGGUGUAUGCAAGGGGGUGGAUGGUGACGGUGAGAGCGGCUGCGGUGGUUGAUAGGCAAGAGGAAGAGGGGGCGGCUUGUAUGUACUGGUUGAACAGCGCGUGCCGCUUCAGCGCCAGAUGGCCCCGAAAGGACGAGCGAGCGAGCGAGCGAGAUGAAAAGAAGGAUAGAGCGCGAGAGGAUUGGGGGGAGGGAGUAAAGAUAGAGAGAUAUAGAAAGAAGAUGAGAGAAGGAGGGAGACGAAAGAUUCCUCUCGUCUCUGGCGUUUAGCUCGAGGCUGCUGGUUGCGUAAGACGAAAAGAAUGGCAAGGAGCGGGACAUCGUGGACAGCUCUUGGAGUCUAGAAUGAACGUUGGGUCGUUUCCUUUUUUUUCUUCUUCUAUAGAAGGGAUUUCGUGAGAAACGUUUAGCCCUGUAAAUUUCGGGGUAUCCCGUUCGUAUAUAGGGGCGAAGGUGGCCGCUUUCCUCUUAACGUGGGUGGCAUCGUAUACCCGGGGUCCGUUAGACUCUCGAGCGCGAGACGAGUUUAUGUAUAUGCUUCGACUUACCGAUUAUAUUUCGCUUAUCUAGUUUCUCGCGACAAAGAGGCUUAUUUUGCAAACGAUCGGUGUUUAUAGAGACAUAGGCUGCGGCGAUAGCCAGCAUGGAGAUGCUAAUGGGAAACGAUGAUGGUGUGUUCAUAUGUCGCGAAUAUUGUUAUUGGUGCACGCGGUGUAGGAAGAAAUGAAGCUGACGUGGUUUCUUAGAACAGAGGAGCACGCAGACGAACGGGACUCAACACUCGUGUCGAGAAUCAUUUAUUUAUUCGUGGCGUCGUAUAGCGAACGUUGCUUACGUUACCUUAAACAUCGUCAUCUUAUCACGUCGAAAUGCGUUUCAUCGUUUUGACGCAACGUAGGCUCAUGUUAAAUGAGAGUCAUGUGCAUGUAUAAUAUAUAGACGUGCGAAUUUAUGUUUCACUCGAAGACAAUUGCAAAAAGCGGAAUUCGCUGACAAUAAGUAUACGUUAUUCAAUGCAUAAACAUUCAAGUUUGCAAAAAUGAAUUAAAAAACAGCGACAUCCGCGUCUAUUUUAAAAAAUUCACAUUUAAUUUUUAAUCCACUUCUUGAAGUUCUUGGGUACGAUUUCUAAGUUAAAUUUUGGGAGUGCUCCACGAUUCCACUAUAGUUGCCGGACCUAUUCACUCGUGAAUUAAUAUCGAAAAAAUUUUAUUUUCAAAGUAAGAAGACUGCAAGCUUAAUUAACACGUAUUUUUAACGGAGGAGAAGAUGCUCUUUUUUAUAAUAUUCUUUGAAACUAAGAAUAUAUUCUUGAUAAAAUUCUGGACAAUUACAUUCUAUGCAGAUCGUCUUUCGUAUAAUGUUUGCAACAAAUAUAUAAUUAUAAUUCAACACAAGUUAUAAUUUAACAUGGCUAGUGCAGUGUAGUGUUUCAUGAUCAAAGUCAUAAACAUCGUAAUAUUUAAAUAAUGGAUGAGAUGGAAAUAAAAAGUAGAAAAAUUUACAUAUAUAAUCGUCAGAUUUAAACAUGUUUUAAUGUAUUUUAUUAGUUUAUAAUUUUUAUUAGUUUGUUUUUACGUUUGACUUUCGUAAUCGGCAGAAAACAAAGUACACGUUUUAAUAAGAUUUUGUAUUUAAAAAAUAACAUUUUCUUUUUUAUUUGUGAAAAAUCAGUCCUAGAUUAAAUUCUUUUUAAUUCUCAUUUAUAAAUAUUUGUAAAAUUCAAGAAUAUCUGCUACUAAUCUGAUCCUUUGGAAGAAUUCCUUCUUAAGAAUUAGAAAUUAAAAAAAUUCUUUUGAUAUUUAUUUAAAAGGAAGUAAAAAAAAUAAAAGGAAACUUUUUAAGUUGAGAGUUUUUUUCGGUAAAUAUUACGGUGAUUAUAUGUUUUUAGAGAAAAUAAAAGACCUAAAAAUUUUAGAGCUUUGCUCUUACAUAUUUUCAAACCAGUUUGUAACUGUCGGGAUUCUGAGUAUUACAAAAUUUUCUUUUUAAAAUAAGAUACUGCAUAAUUUUCUGACAGUUUGAGACUGAUUUGAAACUGUUGAAACUAACUGUUGAAACUGUUGUUUUUGUAAAAAUUUGUUUAUUAAUACAUUAGAUAUUAGAAUAUUAAUUAGAAAAAAAUUUCCUGUAAUUUUACUAAAAUAAAUUAUAAAAUUAUGUUAAAAAAUUUAAACGACAUCUACCCUUAAAUAAAAGAUUGUCCCUUAUAAACAAAAGACGUAUAGUACUGACAAGCUAUCGUAAAACUGUGCGAGAUGCGCGAUUUCUCGUGUUUCUUUGUAAGACAUGCGAUUGAGGAGUUCUUUCAAGAGUCGGAAAAAAAGAAAAGGAAAAAAGGGUGGGGGGGGUCUAUUCCACACGAUGCGAGAGUUGAUGCAUGUCGGGCGUUACGUGACCCGAGCGGAGAAUGAUGAACGGGCCGAAGGAGAGAGAGGGAAAAAGAGUCGUCGUCGUCGUCGUUGUCGUCGUUGCCUCGCGGUGUGAUUCGCGAAGAUGCAUGUAAUAAUGUGUGACGGCUCGUCGCUCUCGCCGAAAGCGAGCCGUCUCCUGACGAGGUGGAAAAAAAAAGAGAGAGAGAACGAAAGAGAGCCAUGCCCCACUCCGUCCCGCCGGCAAUUCGAUCUUGGUCGAAGCGCGCGGCGGACGCGUCGUCGGCCGCAGGGGUAGGGUAGGGAUCGACGAACGCGGCGGAAGCGUCCGAAGACGGACGAAGGGCGACGACGUUUCGCCGCCGCCGCCGCCGCCGCCGCCACCACCGCAUCGGUUCUCCUUCCUCCUCCAGUCCAGUGCAAGCCGCCGUCGGUUACGCGUCACGGCGGUCGUUGCGUUCGUGCGCCACGUGAGCGAGAACGGUAGAAGGAACGGUGUGAGCGUGUGCGUUUCGCGUGUAUGUGUACAUGUGUGUGAGAUAGAACGGCAGGAGCAGGCGGACGACGUGCCGGCGGGGGACGUGAGUCUCGUUAGUGAUGGAUUUUCUCUCGUACGUCGCGUAGGCGGGCCAGACGGUCUCUCUACGUGCAAACGGGGCGCACGCGCCGCACGGAGGAGAGCAGCGUUCAAAAGAGCUCUCUUUCUCUUUCCGUCGUUCCUCGCCAUCGUUGGUAUCCGGAACCUAUCCUAUCUGUAUUUGCGCGCACGCGCGCGCGCGCGCAACACGCAGACAUCGUUCUCCUCCUCCCUCGCGUGUCCCGCUACGAGAGUAGUCGUCGUCGUCGUCGUCGUCGUCGCCGUCGUCGCCGCCGCCGCCGCGCCGCGGCGAAAACGCGCGCGCGUGAAAAUACAUCCUCGCCGUCUAGCGGCAGCGCCGAAGCGUUCAGUCAAUUAGCCGUAAUGGCACGACCUGCCGCGUCGGUCUCGGUCAAUUAAGUGGUGAUUAGUGCGCGGGCUGUGCCGUCGAUCUCGUAUCUCUCUUCCCUCCCACUCUCUCUGACUCGUAUACAAGCACACACGGUGUGUGUGCGCGCUGUGUGUGUGUGUGUGUGUGUGCGCGCCGCCGGCUGUCCGUUGGGAGUCGCGUCGGCGAUUUCUACGGUAGUAGAGUCACGCGCCGCGUGGGGAGGGAGAGGAGAGAGAGAGAGACUCCUGACUCGCAAGCAAUCUACGAGAGUCGCAUUUCGGUGCGCGAACGUCACCGUGUCGCAAGGUCGAAAAGGUGGUGGACGACGGUGGGCACUCCUGCUCCUCCGUUUUGGCACGGUGCGUCUCCGUUCACGGCGUCGCGUCAACGCGUUCCGGCGGCGCGCGUGUGCGUGCGCGCGCGCCUGCGUACGGCGGUAGAACGAGCGCCCGCGGCGGGCCCGAGGCCGUAAAUCACGCGCGUCGACGAGAGAAGAGAGGAGACGAGGAGCAGCGCGCGGCAGUAGUCGGUGCACACCCGCGAAGAUGCGCGCCGGCCGGUGAUACGCUCCGCCCGCCGUCGAUCGGUAUCGCUCGCGAUAAUACACAGCAGUCUCUCACCGGCGAGCGAUUCGACGACUCGCGCUCGCACGGAUGGUGAAGAGGAGUCCCUUCCUCCUUCGCCCCCUCGUCGUCGGACCUAAAUCCCUCGGAAGUGUGUGGUGCGUGAGUGCGCGAAUCGCGGAGACCGCAAGUGGAAGCCCCGGAGAAUAGUCUGCGCGCACUCCGGAAGAUGCCUCGCGAUCGGCUCGCGAAGGAAACUCGGCAUCGUCACGCCGUCGGAACUGUCGUCGUCGUCGUCCUCGCCUCGGCGUAGCUUCCUCCGCAACCGCGUCCGCGUUCGAUCGUCCUCUACCACCAGCUGUCAAAAUGGAUUUCCGGGCGCCACAUCCGCUCGUGCAUCCUUCGCACGCUGGACACCCUUACUACUAUCCAGGUACGUAAUAUUGCAGACAAUUUACGAAGAUGAUUGUGUCACACAGUGAGUUAUAAAUCUUCAUACCAUACAGGGUGUCUCUAGUCAAACGCAUUCUUCUUUAAAUCGAGUUCCAUUUUCGUAACACAAAGUUCUCGAUUAUUUAUUAUUAAUAGUUAAAGAGCAAUGCGAUUGGUUACACCGUGUGCGUAAAAUAUCCAUUAAAAUAUGGCAGCGAGCAAGUUAAGUAACAAAGUGGCGCGUCCAAAAAUUUUUUUUAUGGUUUUUAAAUGCUUCGUUAAUUCCGUAAUGUCGUGUCCCGGUAAUACAACGAUGAUACUUUUGCACUCUCGUACGUGUGAAUUGCGAAAUAUGCAUUAAACAGGAAGCACACAAUGUCGAUCGGCUCAUGAUGCCCUGCAAACAUGAACUUUAUCAUGAAUUUUCAAUAUUUAUGCCAGUCAUCACGGCUGCCGAGUAACUUUUUGCGCUUAAUGACGGUAUGAAUUUUUAUGACGGCGACAUUUUCAAGCUUUGAAUUGCAUAAACGAUCGCUGCAACACGUCGCUUUUUACGAUGUUAAAAAAGGGUACGUGUGAAUCUGAGAAAACAUAUUGUCACAUAUUUUACAUGUUGUUUACGACUUCGGUAAAUAUUUAUGAAUAAAAGAUGCGGCGUACGCGAUUAAAUGCAGUGCCACGUACGAUUAAUAAAACGGUCACUUAUAAUUACCUCGAGAGAUAGCGCAGGUUAUUAUUAAAUCGUCUAAAUUUUCUACAGAUACAUUUUUAAUCACGAGCCGCUCAUUUUCUAAAUUUAUCUCGGGGGAAUAUCCGCGUGUGCGAAUUUUAAUGUACAAUAGAAUCCUCACGAUUUCUGGUAGAAAGCCAUGAAAAACCGUAACGACGGGAGAACCACAGUGUUCUCCCUUGCCGGCGCACGUUUCCCCAUAUUAUCCCGUGUAAUGAGAUAAGUAUCGCGAAUUAUAAAUCGCUCCGCAGCACGCAUACCCUCUCGUGCUAAUCGCGCGCUCUCCAAACGCGACUCAAAGACAGUCGAGCCGAUUAAUGAAGGGGCUUCGUUCGCGUUAAAUACCCAGACGUAAUGAUUUCACGGCCGAGCGAUCAUUCGCGCUUGUGCAAGCUCGCGCGACGUUCUCGCGUUACUGGUGGCGGCGGGGCGGCGUGGUAGUGGAGUCCGUCGAACAGGGUGCUCUCUCGCACGCACCGUCGCCCCGUAAUCGCGGUUAAUUAACGACUCGGAACCAGUAACGAGGCCGCCGAUUGCUAGCCGAGAGCAACGACCAUGAUUAUUCUCGCCCCCGGGUCGCUUCCGGUUCGCCGAUCGUCGACCCGAUUGUCAUCGGCGCCCUGAACUUCGGCCUGUGCACCGUUUUUUCCCACCCCUUUCUGCUUUAUUUUUUUUUUUUUUAAUCGUGCUCGUUUUCGUGCCGGUUUUCCACGCUUUUUCCAACGUAUCCAUCGUCCCCGGGGCGAUUAACGUUGGCAAAUUAUCGCCGUUUUUCUUUUUACGGGGCGAUGCCCUUUUAGGGUGGCAGUGCCAAUUGGUUAUACGAUGACUUCUCGGGAAGAUCGUAACGCUUUCAAUUGUAAUAGAACGUACGAUAGCGUUUGACAGUUUGAAGGAUGUUCUAUGUAGAUCGCGCACAAGUGACAUUAUUGCUCCACUUCUCACGAACAAUGCUGAUUGUUCUGAUUGCAAAGUACCGAUACAUGUUCGGUGUGCACAUAAUGGAAGAAAUCAGAGCACGAUAUUUGAAAUACAAAUUAAUAGCGCUGCUCACGACGAGUAUUAGCGGUAUACCUUUGAUCGAAGUUGUCAGAGCAGGUAAUGAAAACGUUAAGCGAAACAUCGGAUACAAAAUGUCACUUUAAAAGCCUGCCGGAGAGGAGAGAGAGAGAGAGAGAACGACUACGUAAAGUCGUGCAUUGAGGAUCUCGGGAUAACGGGCGCGAGCGGAAGUGCGACGCUUGAAUUUCCAGAUGCGGGAUAAAUGCCGGGAUUUCCGGGCGGAGUUUAACGGAUAAAUGUGUUUCCCGGGAACGCGCGCGACUACGAGUGAUUAAGAUACCUCGCGAUCCACCCUUCUCCUCCUCCUCCGCAGGCGCGCCCAUCCGCGUCGCGCCGGAGCUUCUCUACUCCACCCUCCUCCCCUCUGCCCUUCCUUCCGCGAAAUGGAAGAAAAGGAGAAAACCUGAAAAAGAUCGCGAGCGGCGCGUUUUUCUUCUUGCUCGCUUUAAGCAGCCGGGCCGCUUUUCUUCCGCGGAAAAUGCGGCUUUUAAAUCUCGAUCCGCGUCGUUUCCCCGUCGGAAGAGCAGCAGCUGGUUUUCUUUUUUUUUUUCCUCUCGCGCGCGAAAAGAGUGGCUGAGAGAACGGAUAAACGGCAGGGGGGUAGGGGGUACCAACGGCGACGUGCAGAAGACAGGAAGAGGGAAGGAACACGAUGAGGGAGGUUGAAGAGAGGGAGCCGUGGAGUCGGUGUUGUAGGCAUCUAUCUCCGGCUGAAGCGACGGAUAAGUCGAGGUCUCAAGCGGGAUUCUUUAUUAAAAAUGUCUUUCAGAACCCCUGGAGGGAGAGGUGGGAGGGAGGGAAGGAGAAGGGAAGAGAAAAGGGUCCUCGAGGUGUAGGAUAAUGCGAGAGUUUCCGUCGACGGUGCGAGGGAGUCGGGACAGAAGUUGAAAUUCUUCCCGAUCUGCCUCGUCUCCGGAUUAAUCUCGCAGAACGGCCCCUGGACCGUGCUCUCUUCCUCACGUUCUUUUGCUCCCCGUCCCUCUUUUGCCAACGGAUCAGACAUUAUUAGAGAGCAUUAGAACCCUCUUGGCGUAAUUAUGUCCAUCCCGCCCUUUUUUAUUCUUCCCUUAAAAAAAAAAAUUGUGUAUCUGCCGACCGUCGCGAGUGCGCUCAAAUAUCUGUGGAAUAUUUAAAGCAAGUAUAUUUAUGUAUUCUAACAUCCUACAAGGGAAAGAGCUCUAAUAAAUCUUUAAUAAAAUCUCUAGUAAGAGCAAGACGUUCUCUUAAACAAUAAUUUACGAAAACGGCUUCCACCUUUUUCUCGUAUUUCAUGCCUUAUUUUCUUUAUUGCUUUUAUUAAUAAGAAUUUACUUUGGAGAAUGGUCUUUGAAUCCGCGACAUUUCCUUGCCAGCGCGACGACAACUUGACAAAUUAGAGACUUAGAGACGCGAGCAGCAGCGAAUCGCUUUCUCGUCGUUUCUGAACAUCCAAGACCGAUAUGUAACUUGAUGCGAGAAGUUCUCGUGGCCGAUUAAUCUUCUCCCUCUGGAGGUUCAUCGUGCGUUACUCGGAAGCCCGGAGUGAAUUUUCCCGCGGUAGAGAUGUGUGUCGGCGCGGGGAAGAUGAGGUCUCGACGGUUUCUUUACCUUGCCUAUCAAGCCGCUAGCGCGAAAUGACUCGCGAGCGCGCACGAAAGCUCUUUUUAGACGAGCAGAAACGUGGCGAAACGGAGAGCUAUCGUGCUGCGAGGGCCGAACGAAAUUCGCACGAGAUAUAUAUUUUCCGACGAGAAUUCCCUCUUUCGUUCGUGAUUGCGCGACUGUCGUUACGCUGAUCGCAUCUCGCGAUAAUCAGGAAAUACCGUGUCUUCGCGACUUCGCGGUUGAGGGAAAGUGUCGGAUCUUUCGUCGCAACGUACGCUGCGAAAUACGCUUGGCAACGCGUUUAAAACAUUUAAAACGAGCGUAGGUAUAUACAAUCGCCCGACGAUAUCGAUUACCCGACACUCGAGAGACGACGCGGUCGAGAGCCUUCGUUCCCAGUCGACUUUUGUUAUCGGAAGAGCAGCGCUUGGCCUCGUAUUUCUUUCUUUCACCGUGGCCUGCAUCCAUCCGCCCACAUGUGUGUCAAGAUAAGCGCGAGCGCUGACGCGGCAUCGUCGUCGUCGUUGUCGCGAGUGCAUACUUUGUACGCGUGUAAAUUGAUGUCAAUUUGAGUUCAAGCUUUCAGGCGUGGCGAGUGCUCCUUUUUAUCGCUGACUACGGUAUGUUUUACAUAUUUAUUGCGCGCUCGUAGCACAUCUCAUUAUCAUUUUAUUUCCAGACGGUCCUUCGACAAUUAACUACGUAGUUCGCGAUGACACACGGUCAUAAUUUUCACAUCGAGCUGAAAAUGUUUUUGUUUUAAAAUUCGCUGGCAAUGCCCAAGGUAAUUUCUUUUUAUCUUUUUCCGAAGCGGAUAACGUCAGUAUUCAUACUCGAAUUAAUUAAAAAUUUUUACAGCAAAAACGUGUCGACGUGAAGAUUAUUGCGAUUUAAGUCACGCGAGAAAUUCCCGGUGAUAAAUCUUUUAGGCGGUUCGCUGCUCGCGUGUACACUUGCGUUGCGCCCGUGCAAAAUAAAUACAUUUCAAGAUGUAUUUCGUCUCCGGGGGAGUACGAAUUUAUUCCGCGAAUUUAUAGCGCGGCAUCGGUUAGUCCGUCUUCCUACGAUGGGUCUUAUCUCUUUUCUGCCUUUUUACAAAUUCACGAAUAGCCGAAGAAAGAUAUACCCCCCCGAACGGAAUAAUCUAUCUUCAGCUUUACGUAGAGUCCUCGACGGAACUCUUCGAGUCAAGGGAACUCGGGAGAGGAUCGGUCGAUGUUCGUGACCCCACCGACACACCGGAUCGUUAAUAUUAAUUAGCGUCGGUGACAUCACGGGGACCACCUAAAUAUUUGAUUACUCGAGAUACUUAGAGAGAUAGAGAGAGAGCGCAGAACUUGCUCUUUGGCUUUUCCAGAUCAUUAGUCGUUGUUGAUCACCCUUUAAAUUUUCAACGUUGGAAAAUGACCCUCUUCAUUCGAAGUUGCCUUUAACCUGAGAUAAUGGAGUUAAUGCGACAUUUUUUUUUUUAAUCACCAAGCUGUUUAUCUACGUCAUUUUCGUAAUUUGGUAUUAAGCGAUUGCGAACGAGAAUUGUUUUAACUAGUCCAACUUUUAACAUAAAUUUUUACAUGAACAAAUAGAUCUUACAAUUUGAGUCUUAUAAAAAAUUGCAGGAUGGGAUAUUUAAAAAAAAAACGUGUACGUGAUUUGAAUCCUAUAUAUUCAAAUAUCCCGGUCGCGGAUCAAUUUCUGCGCGCGCGUCUUUUUCUCGUUCUCGAAAUCUUUGAAACGCGCAUCGGAAUAUUCUUGAAAAAGGAGAGGAAGAGGAGGGAAGGAAGUAUCUGUCGGUAGUUUCCAAAACGCGGAUGUCAUGGCGGGGUUGCGCGGAGGAAAUUGGAGGCUUCUCGGGAACAUAUUGCCUUCUCAAUCCUCUGCAACUACCCCACAGCCUCGCAUCGAGUUCUCCUGGUUGGAGGGGAUAUAGGAUGAAAAGGAAGGAAAGCCAGAGGUUUGGCACGGAGAUCUGGCUGAGUUUAGAGCCGAGCGACUAGUUUCGUAACCCCGGUAUUAUGCCGCUUCCAGUAAAAGGAGGGAAGAGAGAAAAAUAAGUUUUACAAUCUGAGACAAAUUUCUCCAAAUGAAAGUAUACGUAUAAAUAUACCUUAUUGCUUAAAAAUAAAACGUCAGUAUAGGCGUAAUAUUGCAAUUUACAAAAAGAUUGUGAGAAUAUUGUUAGAAAGGGAAAAUUACUCCGUACAUUUUCUCUCCGAGCAAACCAGUAAGUAAGAGUUAACGAGUAACAAUACGAAAUCUUGUAGGAAAGUAUAAGAGCGGAGAAAAUAGCAAAGUGAAUGAAAUCGAGUCGACUUUCCUUAAUUAUACGUAUUAAGCUCCGUCACGGAAUUAUUUAAUCGAAACUUAUUAAGAUCGUUUUCGCGCGGAGCAGAUAUCGGGCUGCGGAAUAAAGUAGGUGAGAAGAGAAGGAGGAGAGGAAGGAGAACCGUUUAGCUGCUCGUAACUUGAAGGGUGAAAGCGUGUCGUCGUCGGCACCGUUGACGGACCAGAAUUGCGCUAUCGGAAAGGGGUAUCGAUCCCAUUCGCUUCCGGCUCGCUCGCGUACGGAAAUGAAACAGGUCGACACGCUCGUACUCGCCUAGCACCCUCAUACCCGCGACGCGCGCGCGCAUCGACUCAAUCGAAGUGAACUUUCGUAAUGAAAGUUCUCGGGGGGCUACAUAGCGUGACGGGGCAUAGGAGAGUGUCGGUCCUCGGAAAAUUCGCCGAAGGUUUGUUCUCGAGUGCAAGGACUCGGAGAGAAAUCUCGGCUUGCAGGCGGUAGCGUUAAUCGAUCCUGAAAUUGAAUUUGUUUUAGUUGAAGUUAUAGUAUUGCGUUCGUUGAUACACGGGCUAUCUUUCGUAACGGACGGAAUUUGAAUGGUAGAUUCUUCAAUUGAUUUGUUCUUCAAACCUUCUUUCUCACGAAAAUUUUAAAGGACAAUUUUAUCUUUAAUACGUAUUGUUUUUUUUUGUCCUUUGCAUUCUUAAAAUAAACACGGAGAAAAAUAAUGUUGCUAUUGCAGCAAAAUUGUCUGUGCCAUUGCAUGUUUGUGGUGGCAACAAAAUGUAGUUGACACAACUAAUUUUAGAAAUUAUUGAUUAGUAGAGCAGAAUUUGUUUUGUUGCUAAAAUUAGGUCAUUUACGAAAUAGGGAGGACUUUCUAUUCUCGGUAUUUCUGGUAUGACAAAAAAUAAUACCAUUACACUUUGAAGUGUUAUUCAGUAAAUUCCGUUUUUAUCGAGUCACGGUUCCAGACUGUUGAUAGUUCACUAACACCAUUAAGAAUUCCAUUUUCAUUGAAAGCUAUAAGAUAUUCGUACUAUUUUAUUUCGUAAAUGACCUGAUAGAAAAAUUUGUUGAAGCAUUGGUCUUUAUGAUUAGGUUAAUUUGCUGUUAAAGUAAAAUAAUAUAUUCUUAGCAAAUACCUUUGCUAUUAAAGCAAAAAAUAUUACUGCUCAUACAAAUCGGGUCAUACGGGCUUAAACCUGUGAUUUGAUCAAUUUAUUCUUACAACAGAAUUUGUAGUUUUAAUAAACGUAUACCUAAUAAAUCUCUUUACUGUUUACGUAAUAACGUAAUAGAUUUGCUGUACCAGUGAAUUAUUUUUCUUCAUGAAGACUUUAAAGUUAAUAGCCGUAUGGUUCAAAUGAAAAUUAAUAACUCCCAAUUUAUAUUCCAACGAAUUUUUAUUAAGUUUUUAAUUACAUGUACAUUUGUUCAUCAAAAUUCUUCAUCGACUUCUCUUAGUCCAGUUGACAUUCUAGCGAACUUUCAGCGCAAUGUCGUUCUUUACGACAAUCAACGGAGCAACGAGGAAGGCACACGGUCGUAAAAUCGGCACUUCGCCGUGACAGAAGUGUGAAAUCGGUCAACCGGUACCAACCGGUUCCCGGCUCCCUCGUCCGACAGAAAAUUGCUAAUGGUUUUCGCUCGAGCGGUCUGGAAAGGGCGGAACCAGCGGCGCUGCUCCAAGAAACGUUACUUCCUUCGAGAAAGAAAAAAAAAGAAGGAAUGAACAGGGGGAGAAGGAAUAAUGUCGUUUCCCGCGCCGUUCACCCUCUCACCGCGUGCCUCCUUUAUCUGGUAGUGCGCUCAGCUUUAUCAGGGAACGCUCCCCUCCACGCGAAGCUCGCGUCGUAAAGAAAAAAAAAAGAAAAAAAGAGGAGAACUCGCAGAGGAGAGAAAUUAUCCUUCCCUUUCCGCUCGGAGGGACCAUCAACGAAGCUGGGGCAGAGUCCUUUCGGCGUACUUUCGCCGUAUUAAAUAAUGCUGAAGGCGGGGAAUUCGUUCCCGGAUAUCGCGGCGGUAACUUCCAAUUUCGUUAAAUGAUCUCGCAUUGUGCGAACGCUGCUGCAACUAAUUGCAUCGCGUGACAGGAUGCAUUCUCCUGAAAUUGCCGGUGAAUACAAAUUUAACGCGUCUAUAAAUAAAUUCACAAUGAAUUACCGAACAAACAGUGAAUGUGCGAAGUUGCGAAACUUACUCUGCUUACCGUUCUCAUUCACCUAACUUGGAAGCUCCGACUCUUCUUACAGAAUAGCUAUUAGCAAAAAUACCGUACGAAAUUCCGUUGUAUUUUUUUAUUGUACAUAAAUUUUUAUUAUAGACUAUGCGUACUUUUCUCUGCUCACGAUCGAUUAUUCACGUAGAUUACGUAGAAAUUGCAAAUAAUUUUGGCGCAUUCUUUAAUGGUUAUUUGCGGAUUUUACGCGCAUCAUGUGUGUCGACGGAAACGUCGAUGAAAGCUACGGAGAAGGGGAUUUCUUGGAAAGCGGUGCACGCGCGUUGCGAACGAGAUCGGAACAUAACAAUUACGUAAAACAAGCGGGUGGGCUCUCUCGCUCUCCCUCCUUCUUUACCGCGAUGAAAAGUAUAGUAUUCGCAGCAUGUAGUAGCAAACCAUAGUCCACGAACUGGCCCCACUGGCUUCGUUCUGGUGCCGCCUUCGUCGUCGAAGGCACGUCGACCUCGGGGAGGGUGGAGGAGGAGGAGGUGGAAGAAGGGAGAAAGGGGAAGGCCACAACAGAAUGCCAUUCUAAUAACGAGACGGAGCGGAAACGUCGCUCACAUUCGAUUCGUUCGUGGCCGCGAAACGUCGUAGAAAAUAGCGUGCGCGACGGAAUCGUGAGAUCGAUGAUUACGACACCGCGAUUUGCGUGACCGACGACGACGACGACGACGACGACGACGACUACGGUCGGGCUCGCGUUCGCGAAUUAAGCGGAUACGGAUUUAUAUGCAACGGGGAACCACCGAUAUUAUCCCGUUACUUUUAAUUCGCGGAACCAAACGAUCCGUCGGUUCUCGUUACGAUUCUCGUCGAAACGAGCCACCUUCGUUUGCUCUCGUCUCUCUCUCUCUCUCUCUCUCUCUCUCAACUGAUGGAUGUAAUCCUUGGAAAAGCAGACGGAUAAAACGAUACUUAUGAUAUUUCGAUCGUCACUUUUCCGGGAGUAAUCGAAUUAUCUCUAACGGAAAUAUGUCUCUCAGAUAUAGAAGAUCGCGCGUUGCAAUCCCGUACUGUACGUCCUCGAGCGAACUGAACACCAUUGAAAUUGUAUAACCGGUUUCGAUUUCUAAGAUCAAAGUCUCAGGCGAUCCGUCUUUGUCUCGACUCGGUCGUCGCGCUUGCGCGCGCGCAUUGAAAAAAAGCUAAACGAACGUCAUUCAUUCCCACGUACGUAUGCACGUAGGCACGGGCGAUUUGCAUCGUCAGCCCGCAUUCGCGGGCACCGAAAUGCCGUUGUUCGUAGCGUUUAACAGUGGAUUGACCGGCUACCGUUCUACCGUGCCAGGAUUAAGCCCGGUCGUGUAAAACGAUCGGGGUCCGAUCCGGUGUGUAAACACACGUGUAGACCUCGGGAUACACGUUACCGUACCGUGUCCGACGGUGCACGCGUGCACGCGCAUUGGCGCGCGCGAACAUCGCGCGUGUGUCACUUCACGACCACAUUGCGCGUAUCAUCGACACGCUAUCGCCGAGUGAGCACCAGCGGCUCUUAACUGUCGAGAGUAACGUAACGCCAGAUUUUCCAAUUGCAAGAGAGCCAACCAUUCGGAAUGUUGGCCCUCUCUCGAAGAGAGAGAGAGAGAGA